rnacentral:rRNA from 1 species
AAUCAAGUGCCUUAAGGGUGUUCGGUGGAUGCCUUGGCGCUGAGAGGCGAUGAAGGACGUGCUACGCUGCGAUAAGCCGUGGGGAGCUGCGAAGAAGCUUUGAUCCGCGGAUUUCCGAAUGGGGAAACCCACCUUCGAUAGCCGGAACUCCAAGACCUUGUGUGUUGGGGUUCGACCAGAAAUGCGAGAAAUCAAACCGCGAGGUUUUGGAUUUCCGGUUAUCAAGAGAAGGUAUGAGACCUCCGAAUAAAAUAGGAGGUUUUAAGCAAACCCAGGGAACUGAAACAUCUAAGUACCUGGAGGAAAGGACAUCAAUCGAGACUCCGUUAGUAGUGGCGAGCGAACGCGGACCAGGCCAGUGAUACAUCAAAGACAAUCGGAACCUGUCAGGAAAGCAGGGCCUCAGAGGGUGAUAGCCCCGUACGAGUAAUGCGAUGAUGUAUCCAUGAGUACGGCGG